AAGAGCCUGGAAGCCGUGGUACCAGGAACACUCACUCUUCCUGCUUUCUGCUUUCCUCGUGCCGACCUGGGCUGCGAUCAAGACUCCUGGGGCACUUGCUUCCUCUACCCUUUGUGGCCAGGUGGGAUUCCCACACCGUCAAAGGAAGCCCGUGUCUGACAGGGGCCAUUUCCCUUAAAUUUCUCUCAUCACCCCCAGCUCUGCUGUGCCUCAGGUGGGCUGCUGCCACUCUUCCUUCAUGUUCUUGAUAAUAUCAGUGUCUUGAAAGGAAGCUUCAUGCAGUGCCAUGGAGGUCCCAGCCCCUGCUGCGGUUCUCGGAGGUCCGGAGCCCCUGAUGCAGUGCGCAGCCUGGCUGAAGGCCUAUUUCCACCAGCCCGAGGCUAUCGAAGAGUUCCCCGUGCCGGCUCUUCACCAUCCCGUUUUCCAGCAAGUCAUUAGCUGGACAUGUGCCACUCCAAAAGAGAAUGUUUACCUUCAUAUCUUUUGUCGUCAUAAAAUGCACAUUCAUAUUUUACAGAGUGCUUCCCUGCAGCAGAUAAAUAUUGAAACCAUUAACACCUUUUGAUGUACGGUACAGUCUGCAUCUUAGACCCACACAUGGCUGGCCGACCGUGGUCCCUCCAUGCCGCACACCUGGCCGGGGACCCUGACUCUUCUCUGGGGACAGUGAGCAGCAGUAAUGCCUGUUUCCUUUUCUGGGAAACAGGAUUCUUUUUGAAAAUUUCAUCAGGACGUGGUGUUUAUUUGUAUUAAAGCAAUGCAUUUAAAUAUUA
rnacentral:sRNA from 1 species